rnacentral:rRNA from 1 species
GACGAAUUCUGGCGGCGUGCUUAACACAUGCAAGUCGAACGGAAAGGCCCUGCUUUUGUGGGGUGCUCGAGUGGCGAACUUUUGAGUAACACGUGAGUAACCUGCCCUUGACUUUGGGAUAACUUCAGGAAACUGGGGCUAAUACCGGAUAGGAGCUCCUGCUGCAUGGUGGGGGUUGGAAAGUUUCGGCGGUUGGGGAUGGACUCGCGGCUUAUCAGCUUGUUGGUGGGGUAGUGGCUUACCAAGGCUUUGACGGGUAGCCGGCCUGAGAGGGUGACCGGCAACAUUGGGACUGAGAUACGGCCCAGACUCCUACGGGAGGCAGCAGUGGGGAAUAUUGCACAAUGGGCGGAAGCCUGAUGCAGCAACGCCGCGUGCGGGAUGACGGCCUUCGGGUUGUAAACCGCUUUCGCCUGUGACGAAGCGUGAGUGACGGUAAUGGGUAAAGAAGCACCGGCUAACUACGUGCCAGCAGCCGCGGUGAUACGUAAGGUGCGAGCGUUGUCCGGAUUUAUUGGGCGUAAGGGCUCGUAGGUGGUUGAUCGCGUCGGAAGUGUAAUCUUGGGGCUUAACCCUGAGCGUGCUUUCGAUACGGGUUGACUUGAGGAAGGUAGGGGAGAAUGGAAUUCCUGGUGGAGCGGUGGAAUGCGCAGAUAUCAGGAGGAACACCAGUGGCGAAGGCGGUUCUCUGGGCCUUUCCUGACGCUGAGGAGCGAAAGCGUGGGGAGCGAACAGGCUUAGAUACCCUGGUAGUCCACGCUGUAAACGGUGGGUACUAGGUGUGGGGUCCAUUCCACGGGUUCCGUGCCGUAGCUAACGCUUUAAGUACCCCGCCUGGGGAGUACGGCCGCAAGGCUAAAACUCAAAGGAAUUGACGGGGCCCCGCACAAGCGGCGGAGCAUGCGGAUUAAUUCGAUGCAACGCGUAGAACCUUACCUGGGUUUGACAUGGAUCGGGAGUGCUCAGAGAUGGGUGUGCCUCUUUUGGGGUCGGUUCACAGGUGGUGCAUGCCUGUCGUCAGCUCGUGUCGUGAGAUGUUGGGUUAAGUCCCGCAACGAGCGCAACCCUUGUUCACUGUUGCCAGCACGUUAUGGUGGGGACUCAGUGGAGACCGCCGGGGUCAACUCGGAGGAAGGUGGGGAUGACGUCAAGUCCUCAUGCCCCUUAUGUCCAGGGCUUCACGCAUGCUACAAUGGCUGGUACAGAGAGUGGCGAGCCUGUGAGGGUGAGCGAAUCUCGGAAAGCCGGUCUCAGUUCGGAUUGGGGUCUGCAACUCGACCUCAUGAAGUCGGAGUCGCUAGUAAUCGCAGAUCAGCAACGCUGCGGUGAAUACGUUCCCGGGGCU